GAGUUUGAUCUUGGCUCAGGAUGAACGCUAGCGGCAGGCAUAAUACAUGCAAGUUGAACGGGAUUCAGAUAGCAAUAUUUGAUGAGAGUGGCGCACGGGUGCGUAACACGUAUGCAACUUACCUUAAACUGGGGGAUAGCCCGUGGAAACAUGGAUUAAUACCCCAUAGUAUAUUGAUUAGGCAUCUGAUUAAUAUUAAAGUUACGGCGGUUUAAGAUGGGCAUGCGCGUCAUUAGCUAGAUGGGGAGGUAACGGCUCACCAUGGCGACGAUGACUAGGGGGUCUGAGAGGA
rnacentral:rRNA from 1 species